GACGAACGCUGGCGGCGUGCUUAACACAUGCAAGUCGAACGGACAGGCCCUGCUUUUGUGGGGAGCUCGAGUGGCGAACGGGUGAGUAACACGUGAGUAACCUGCCACUGCCUUUGGGAUAACUUAAGGAAACAGGGGCUAAUACCGGAUAGGAGCACCUGCUGCAUGGUGGGGGUUGGAAAGUUUGGGCGGUUGGGGAGGGAAUCGCGGCUUAUCAGCGUGUUGGUGGGGUGGUGGCUUACCAAGGCUUUGACGGGUAGCCGGGCUGAGAGGGGGACAGGCCACAUUGGGGCUGUGAGACAGCCCAGAGUCCUACGGGGGGCAGCAGAGGGGAGUAUUGCACAAAGGGCGGAAGCGUGAUGCAGCAACGCCGCGUGUGGGAGGACGGCCUUCGGGUUGUAAACCGCUUUCGCCUGUGACGAAGCGUGAGUGACGGUAAUGAGGAAAGAAGCACCGGCUAACUACGUG
rnacentral:rRNA from 1 species